CACUAGUGGUGUGGCCAACAGCUUGUGAAGGGGCCAGCAGACACUUGUCUGAUGCUUGCAGUGGUAACCCACUAAAAAUGUCGGAAGCAAGCAGUAAAUCGGGCUUGUAGACCUAAUGGAAGAAAGCAUGUGGACUCCAGACCCAUCAGGCUAAUGUCUACUCCUGCCAUCUUGUCUUCACUUCCAGUUGGUUCUCUGGCUUGACCUGGAAGCAUGCUAAUGCUUGAGUAGAAAGGGGGAAAGAGGAAUCUUAGAGCAGAAAGCAGGCAAUACACUGCCCACAUUCACU